GACGUAGGGCGCGAGCGUUGUCCGGAUUUAUUGGGCGUAAAGAGCUCGUAGGCGGCUUGUCGCGUCGACUGUGAAAACCCGCGGCUCAACUGCGGGCUUGCAGUCGAUACGGGCAGGCUAGAGUUCGGUAGGGGAGACUGGAAUUCUCGGUGUAGCGGUGAAAUGCGUAGAUAUCGAGAGGAACACCUGCGGCGAAGGCGGGUUGCUGGGCCGACACUGACGCUGAUGCGCGAAAGCCAGGGGAGCGAACGGG
rnacentral:rRNA from 1 species